GGGGCUGAACCGGCUGAGCUUCCCAGGGACGCCCCGACCCAAGCCCUGCAGUCCGCGCGCGUCAGGGGUGUGCGCUGGAGGCCGGAAAGUCGAAUAUCACUUCCCAUCCUGCAUUUGAUGUGCUUUGGGGUUGAAAAAGCCCUUAUGUGGUAAAAAAAAAAAAAAAAAAAAAGUCAGAAAAGUGGCAAAAGUCUUCAACGGCCUGAAAAAGGCCGAGACAGGAACUGAGAAGCUGGCAGUAGGUCCUGCUACUGCUGCAGGGGCGGCGGGCGCCCUGGGUGGGCCACGAGGCAGGGACAGCCGAGGCUCCGCGCUCACCCCACCCGCAAGGGGCCAAGCGCAGACUCAGGGGAGCCAGAGGGGCCGGACCGCUGAGCAAGGGCUGGGGAAGGAUCCCACGCUUGGAUACUUGGGAGUGAAGAUGUGUUAUUUCACCCACCGACUCGUUCCACACGACCAAGGCCUGUGCCUGCCCUGAGGGCGAGUUGGUUGAGCCUUGUACAGACAACUCUCAGAGCGUGGGCCUGGGCCGAACCUUUCCCUGUGAGCAGCAGCAUCAGCGUCUAGAACGACGGCCCUCCCGGUCCACGGUGGAAGGUGCGGAGCUCCCGUGGUGUGCUGGCAGCGAUUCGCAGAAGGGAGAUGGAGGGCCACAGGGCAGGUGCUCGCACGGAGUCAUCGAGGUCCAGGGACACCUUCCUCCCAGAAACAGAAAACCUGCACGCUGUUGACAGUCGCUACAUUUAAUGAAGUAUCCCAACGCUUCGUUGGUCUCGGGAAUACAGCUCCACACGCAAAAAAGUAAAAAGUGCAGCAAAACAACAACACAACGAUCAACCUCAAAGGAAACAACAAAAUUAAUUUUAUCAAAAUGCAAUGUGUACAUUAAGACUAAAGUUAUGGAUUGUUCCUGUUUGGCAUAGAAAUGUGAUGACUAUUAACAGAAAGGGGAAAAAGAUUUGCCCCCUAUCCAUCAUCAGACAGACAGACUUCUCUUACUAAACCCCUUAUGUGGAGUGGGAUGAGUGACUAUUUCCUGCAGAAAGAUCAUGCAACUUAAAGCAAAAAAACAAACCAACCAACAAAAAAAACAAAAACAAAAACAAACUUGUGCAUAUUACACAUGACUGAUUAUUGGGUGUGCCUGGCAAGACUAAAUGCUGAUUCUUUUCAGCGUUUGAAUUAAAAGAAUUCCAUAUACAGCAGAUAGAUAACAGUAACAAAUAUUGAACUAAAAUCGCUGGCAACAUUAUAUAUUUAAGGUUCCAUCAUAAACUCCUCAUUAUUCUCUAUGUAUUCUGUUACAGCUUCUAGCAUGCUUCAUCGUGACAACCUAAUAUUAUCAAGCCUCAUAUUUUCACAGGAUUAUAUACUUAUUAGAUGUUUGUUUCUAGAAAUUAUACUACAUAUGUGUUACUAGGCAUAUUUAAAAUAAGUUACUGGUAAAUGGAGUUGCAUUCUAUAGUCACUUAAUAAAUAUUAACAAAAUAUUUAUAACUGGAACCUUAAUGAAAUGUAUCAUCAAAUCAGGUAAAAGCAACUUGUCCGCAGUUACCAAAGCCUAGAUACGCGUUAGAUGCGCCUUUUCCGGCCUGUGCGUCUGCUCUGGUUCCUCUCAGGCAGCAAAGCUGGGGAAGGAAGCUCAGGCAGGAGCCUCCCCGACGCCACAGCGGCACAAGCAGCAGCUAAAGCACCGCACUUUGCUCUGCUAACCUUUUACUUAAAUGAGGUUUUGCCAAAUCCACAUCUGGAACCGCGUCACACCCAUUUGCAAGGAUGUUUGUUCUUUGAUGAAACUGCAUCUCUACUGCACAUGAGGGCUUUCAUUGUAGGACAAGAGGAGAGUUCGUUUAUUUUUGUAACUGUUUUACAUGUUCCGAUUAGUUAAUCGGUAGCUUAUGUCAUUUGCUAUGCCUGUUGUCUUCUAAUCUCUCCUUACUAAAACAUUACUUCAAAUUUGAAUUGACCCUUGUUUAUAAUUUAUUUAAUGGGAUUUGUGUGUCAUUGUAGAGCAACUCUAAUUCAAGAAUAGUGACAACUUUAAGCACCAAAAGUAGUUCAGCAAUAUUUUUCAUGCUUAAUUUAUCAUAAUGGCUUAUGCACAGUAUUCCCUUCAACUCCAUAUACACAUAAAUACAAUAAGUAAUUACAUUUUAUAUGUAAACGUCAUUCUUUUUAAACAAACAAGAAAAAGCAAUGUAAUGGCAUGCCCAAUUUUCACUCCACAUAAAGUCUCAUAUAUCACCAAACUGGUUUCCUCUAGUGGGUUAGAUGUUCAUCUCUGAGUUCCAUUGAUAUUUAUCCUCUGAAGGCACUUGGGUUUGGGGUUGCUGGCAGGAGGUGAAGAACCAUCAGAGUUAAGGUCAAGGGACAGGAGGUGCUGCUAGAGAGAGAAGCCACAAGGACCACAAUGAACUGAGGUGUCUAGGGACCAUGGCAUGCACAGGGCAUUGCCGGAAAUGCAGCAAAUCUUGUUUAAAUAUCU
rnacentral:lncRNA from 1 species